GGUACAGGAUCGGGGGAGAGCCUCUCAGGGACUCACAGUGAAGCUCCAGCAGGUCCCCCACCACAGUGUGGGCCCUGGGAGCCCUGAAGGAGACCUUAGUGGCUGACAGAGAACCUAAACCCUGGCUUGCAACUCUAGGCUGUGUGAAAGGAAUCGGAACUUACUUCUCACGGUGACUCGAAUCCACGUGCUGAGGAUGGGGCUGUGAACGUUAUCAGCUGCACAGUAGUAUCUCCCUGCAUCACUCUCCUUCACGGUGAGAACAUGCAGCUCUGCCAACAGGGAACACUGGGUCUUUCUACCCAGGCUUCUUACUCUUCCUUCUUUGUGCCAGGAGAAUGUGACAGUCCCUGAACCCUGGGCUACUGAGCAAAUAAGGACCAUAUUUUCUCCUUCAAUCAGCUGCCCUCCAGUGGGCCGGAUCUCUAGAUUCACAUUAGACACAGGGACUCCUGGGGGAACACAAGAUGGCAUGUGAAGGUCCUGAUGGCAGGGACAUCAAGGUCAAGGGGAAGGCUGGAGCUACCAUGAAUAGGCCAAUAGCAGCAGGUGCAGCAGGCAGAAGCCCAAAGUAGGAAAUAAAUUAAUUGUGUAUACGAUUAUAAAGGAAGCAACAUCCCUCUCACUCCCACAACAUUCCCAUCCUUGAGAAAUGUGGGCACCAAGUCCAUAAUCUCCAGAAACCCAAUGUUUUCUGGUCACAUUUUAUAUGCAUUUAUCUCUAAGGAAUCUUUGAUGCAUCAAUAAACCACAAAAUAAAAGAGAA